rnacentral:rRNA from 1 species
CAGUCGCCGCGGUAAUACGAAGGGUGCAAGCGUUAAUCGGAAUUACUGGGCGUAAAGCGUGCGUAGGUGGUGGUUUAAGUCCGUUGUGAAAGCCCUGGGCUCAACCUGGGAAUUGCAGUGGAUACUGGGUCACUAGAGUGUGGUAGAGGAUAGUGGAAUUUCCGGUGUAGCGGUGAAAUGCGUAGAGAUCGGGAGGAACAUCAGUGGCGAAGGCGGCCAUCUGGGACAACACUGACGCUGAGGCACGAAAACGUGGGGAGCAAACAGGAUUAGAUACCCGAGUAGUCCCUGUCUCUUAUAA